rnacentral:lncRNA from 1 species
CAUUAUGUUUUUUUUUUUUUUUUUUCUUUUUCAUUUUCUUUUUCAUCCAUAUAAUCUAGAUUGUAGAUAGAGUUGGUCUUCUUGAAACGAUUGGAAAUUUAAGGGUUUUUUAUUUUUAUUUUUUUUAUAAUUACGAAAAUGUUAUUGUUUAUUUCAUGAAUUUUCUAAAAUAAUACACUGGUUUAGACUAUAUAAAUUCACGUGAAAGAUAGGUAAAUGUUUGUCCUUGUAUAGACAAAAGUUUAUAAUAAAUUAACAUUUUUA